UGAAUAUGCUAACUGGAGUAGGUUAGUUUGGUAAUUUUUACUUACUUCAUGCAUGAUCUAUGCAAGAAAAAUAUUGUCCUGUACCUAGGCUUAUCAAUUUACAUCAGCAUAGCUUAUGAUAUGGUUAUAAGAUGAUCUAGGUUUAGUGUUCUUCAUAUCUAUAAAAUAUUUAUAGGGAGAGCUUACAUAGCUAUAUGUUUACAUAACAUAUUUACUUAUAUUCUUUGCAGUGCGCAUGCCUACAUUGUCUUCAAAGAUGAGCAUGCCCCCUCGUAAAAAGCUUCAAGGAGAAGGGCCUCUUUAUGACAGAAAGAGGACUGUUUGCUUUGAAAUUUAACCAUAGCGUUCAAGUGCUGCAUUCACUCCUGCCUUCAAUUCUCAAUAGGCCGGGUUGCACUAAUGGAGGAAGGAAAUGCCCAUGAAAGUAAUGUUGAAGACACUUUGGUCGAUGCUGCCGAAAAGGUGGACCACGACCGCAAGGAAUGUAUUGAGGACAACAUUCCUGGAGAAAUCUAAAGUCCAAUGUUCAAGUGCACAUGUACGUGAUCUCCAUUCUGCCCUUAUAUAGAUCUGAUAGCUGAGAUUAUUAAAUGCUGGUCUGACGAAUGAAAAAAAAUCUUAUCAUGAAGUUAUUUGUUUGUUGUAGUGGGGUACUUUCUUAUUUGUGCUGGUGAAAAAUUGUUCAUUGGAGUAGCAUGGGAUGGUCAUCAAGGAGAAAUAUGUCAUGGUGUUAUCUAAUAUUCUCUUAUGGAUAUCAUAUCAAAAGUUGGAAUGAUAUGUUUGUUUUGAAAGUUAGGCUCUUGACCAUCACAGCCCUGUAUGCAUUCUUUCUGAGUAUAAUUAUGUGAUGUUGAGUAUAA